rnacentral:misc_RNA from 1 species
AGGUAUCGUGUGCGAUGGCAGUCAGUCCACCUCACCGCGUCGGGCUGCGCGCGCGCCUCGCUCGAACAUAAAUACAAUAAAAUAUGGAAAUGGCGAGUCAGUCCGUGACAGGUGCGCGGCCGCGGCGUUCGUGCACGUGUACUGUUAGUGAGUGCGCUAGCGCUGCCGCUUUCUCUGCAACCCUUGGCACCGAUGUUCUUAUGGAAGAAUAAAUAUAUGGGCAAUAUAUUGAAAAACAAAAAAUUAUUUUUCGUUUUGGUGUUGAUUUUCAUCAAGUUUGUAAGUAUGCAUAGAAAAUGAACGAAAGCACGUAUUAUAGGCGAAUUUUAUUUAUUCGUUAAGAUUCAUACAAAAUGAUAAACUAAUUUUUGCUUUAUUUUUAAUUGUAUUAAUAAAAUUUAGGUUAAAAUUUUUAUUUUUAUUUUUACUCAUUGAUUUUUUAAGUUUGUUUUGUUGUACUAACCCAAUAUGGACUUUAGUCUGAAAUAAAGAAUUAUUAUUAUUAUAAAAAAUUAAAGUGUAAACUUUUUAUUGAGUAAACCGAUUUUGAUGAUUUUUAUUAAUCGAAAGCUGGUGCUUAUCAAAUGGUCCCAUUUGGAUUUGAGUUGAGUUACCUCUAAAAAU